CCUACGUGUGGCAGCAGUGAGGAAUAUUGGUCAAUGGCCGGAAGGCUGAACCAGCCAUGCCGCGUGAAGGUCAGUGCCCUAUGGGCGUUAAACUUCUUUUGUGCGGGAGCAAUAAUGGUCACGUGUGGCCAGACGAGAGUACCGUACGAAUAAGCAUCGGCUAACUCCGUGCCAGCAGCCGCGGUAAUACGGGGGAUGCAAGCCUUAUCCGGAUUUUUUGGGUUUAAAGGGUGCGUAGGCUGUGAGGUAAGUCAGCGGUGAAAUGCCUCCGCUCAACGGGGUGAAGUGCCAUUGAAACUGGCAGGCUGGAAUGCGGAUGAGGUGGGAGGAAUGUGUGGUGUAGCGGUGAAAUGCUUAGAUAUCACACAGAACACCGAUUGCGAAGGCAGCUCACGAAUCUGCGAUUGACGCUGAUGCACGAAAGCGUGGGUAUCAAACAGGAUUAGAUACCCGAGUAGUC
rnacentral:rRNA from 1 species